CCCUUAGAUGUUCUGGGCCGCACGCGCGCUACACUGACUGGUGCAACAAGUGUCGCUCCUUGGCCGAUAGGCCUGGGCAAUCUUUGAACGCCAGUCGUGAUGGGGAUAGAUUCUUGCAAUUUUUGAUCUUCAACGAGGAAUUCCUAGUAAACGCGAGUCAUCAACUCGCAUUGAUUACGUCCCUGCCCUUUGUACACACCGCUCGUCGCACCUACCGAUUGAAUGGUCCGGUGAACCCUCCGGAUCGGCCCGCGCCAACGCAAGUUGAGCAAAGGCCGAGAAGUUGGGUAAACCUUACCAUUUAGAGGAAGGUGAAGUCGUAACA
rnacentral:rRNA from 1 species